ACAGCAGCAGCCGCGGUAACACGAAGGGUGCAAGCGUUAAUCGGAAUUACUGGGCGUAAAGCGUGCGUAGGCGGUGAGUUAAGUCUGCUGUGAAAUCCCCGGGCUCAACCUGGGAAUGGCAGUGGAUACUGGCUCGCUAGAGUGUGUCAGAGGAUGGUGGAAUUCCCGGUGUAGCGGUGAAAUGCGUAGAGAUCGGGAGGAACAUCAGUGGCGAAGGCGGCCAUCUGGGACAACACUGACGCUGAGGCACGAAAGCGUGGGGAGCAAACAGGAUUAGAUACCCCCGUAGUCCCUGUCUCUUAUAU
rnacentral:rRNA from 1 species